rnacentral:rRNA from 1 species
AGGAUGAACGCUGGCGGCGUGCCUAAUACAUGCAAGUCGUACGAGGGAAGUCCAGCUUGCUGGACGGAACGAGUGGCGAACGGGUGAGUAAUACGUAAGCAACCUGCCUGCAAGGACUGGGAUAACACCUGGAAACGGGCGCUAAUACCGGAUAGGUAACAAAGGGGCAUCCCUAUGUUAUUAAAGGUUAGAAACACAAGCAGAUGGGCUUACGGUGCAUUAGCUAGUUGGUGAGGUAACGGCCCACCAAGGCGAUGAUGCAUAGCCGGCCUGAGAGGGUGAACGGCCACAUUGGGACUGAGACACGGCCCAGACUCCUACGGGAGGCAGCAGUAGGGAAUUUUCGGCAAUGGACGAAAGUCUGACCGAGCAACGCCGCGUGAGUGAAGAAGGUUUUCGGAUUGUAAAGCUCUGUUGUAAGGGAAGAACAGCACGGAAAGAAUCCGUGAAUGACGGUACCUUACCAGAAAGCCACGGCUAACUACGUGCCAGCAGCGGC